AUAGAGAAAAGCUCUAUUUUUAUCACUAAUAUACCAAUAUCCACUAACAGUACAUGGAUUGACCAUCUUUCUCACUGUACGCACAUAGCACACAAAAUUACCCACACUCACUUUGCCAUUAACACACUAACACAUACUCUAACAGAUACAUACACACACCUCAUAAAUAGAUAGGGGCCCAUAGGGAAUUCACAUUACAUCACACUUCAUUUUUCUAGUUUUCCAUAGAAUUACACAUACCGAUACUUACCGAUACGCCACUCAUCCUCAUCAUAGAUUGAAUUCUCACACACACAAGCUGGACGCCAUAAACACACACUCCACCAUCGAUAAUUCACAGUGAACAUAGAAGUUUUAUUCUCUAUUCAUCACCAUAGACUACACAUCACUCACACAGAAAGUUCUUUAACAUACACACACUGAGAUAUGAUUAAGAGAUAGAUGGAAUCGGGGGGAACAGGGAGAGGUUCAUGAAAGAGAGAGAUUGUGAGAUAGAUAGAAAGAGGAGAGAUCGAGAGAGAGUAAAUCGGGUCGAUUGGAAUGUUUUUUUGGUGAGUUUUUGCUAGAAUCAGAAUAUCCCCACGGAAUUGGGUCGUUCACAGCCCCAAAUUACCAUUUCUCUGUGUUUUUCUAAUUUUUCUCUAACAAAAUAUAGCCGAGGAGACCCAUUUGAUUGAUUUUCUGAUCUGUUGGAGCUCCGAACAGAUACAAACGACAACCCUGCUUCGAUUCUAGCGGUUUCAUUGAUGAUUAGUUUGAAAUCUGAGAUUUGGGGGUUGGUAUUAAGGUUUUCCACUAGUUUUGAAUCUAUUUGGGUCGUUAUUUCUCGAUAUUGAGUGGAUUUUGUUCAUUGUUGAAUUUCAAUUUAAGGUUUCAUUUGCGGUUUCAGUCGAAAGGAGCAACUUUAUUGAAAGCAAAUAUUUGAGGGAAUGCCCCGAGGUCAUUUGUAUUUAUUCACUGGAGAAUGCCCCAAAGAAUCUUGUAUGCGAAGGAUGUUCGUGAUCAAGGCCCGAGGCAUCGGAUAGAGCAUAGUGUAGGAUUAGUAAAGGUUAGUGUAGGUUUAUUUUAGUACAUUUUAUUUCGAACUGUAAUAAUUAGACUAGACAUUAUUUUUCAAACUUGUUUUGUUUUGGUG